AUGCUUGAACAGCGGCGACCCACACGCGUGACUCGAGGAAGACCCUGUCACAGGGGAUGUAACUGAAAUCUUUUCUGUCAUGUGCAUAAUUAUCAAGCUGGAUAUAAGGAAUUCUCCACUGAGUUCUUCAUUAACACUGCGCUGACAGUAUUACUUACCUUGCAGUCUCACUGCUGUUCUGCAUUAUAAAUAACUUGGCCUGCAGAGGCCAGCACAAAUCAAGAGAAAUCCUUCCUAGCCAGCCCCACACUGUCUGGGGAGCGCAGUCCAUGAAAGUGACCUGUCUUUGUGUGGAUCAUCUGUCUUUGUUGUGCAGCCCUUUGGUCUGGCGCCAGGCAACCAUUCAUUCAAGAACAGGAGGAGUAAAUUAGAUUUGAUGUCAGAGGUGGAACAUAUUCAAUCUUAUAAACCAGUUGCUUGACACUCUUCAUGUGUGAUGGGAUAUAGGGUGUAGGCCACAGCGGGAGUUAAAUAUUAUCUGUUUAUCUCAUUUUAUCUUUUGUCAGAUUAACUGUAUUUUAACAGAAGGA